CUUUCUUUAGUUGCUCCACCUUCUCCGUCUUCCCUUUCUUCAAUUGUUCCACCUACAAAAGAAAAUAAAUAAAGUCAUUAAAUAAGAAUGGGUAUGUAGAAUUUUCUCUAAUUGUAACUUUGUAAGUAGAGAAUAGGUUGGUUGCAUCCUCCCUUUCAAUCUUAUAAUUGCAUUAAAGAAGUGAUGCCCGUGCAUUUUUUCAAUUCGCUGCUUCAAUUGCCCAAAAAUUGUUUGUGAUCAGGUCAUCUAGUAUUAUAGGUUGUUGCAUAUCCUGUUCGACUCAAUAAUGUCUGGACCAUUUUCUACCUUGACGGAAGACCUGACAGUGUAUCUACAACAGAUGAUUUAGAUUGAAGUAAUACUUGAGUCUUGACGACUAACAUUUCGAAGUGACCAUUGCUGUAAAAAAGUAGUAAAUGAGUAUGAUAUCAUCUUGUCCUUGAAAGAAAGAUGUUUUUCAGUCUUUCUAAUCUUGUGAAGUAGCUAAAGUUUCCCCCCGAAGUAAUUGUAUAUCGAAUUGAAGACAGACAAUACCUAAGAUAAUAGCCCAAGAGGUAUGCAUGGCAUACAAAGUGAGGCUUCUACAUUAUUGAGGCAAAAGAGGUCUUUCUCUUGAAACCCAAUGAGCCCUUGUCUGUAGCUAUGAGAAUACAGCAAAUGUAACAUAUGAUACCAGUCAAAUUAUUGCAAACAACACAUAAUAUCACAAGAUGUAAAAAGAAAAGAGAGAACAAGUUAGUCUUUCAAGCAUAAACUUUUAGAAAAGUUGUUAAAAUCUUGUUCUUUUUUGGAAAUCGAAAUUAAAGCUUUUUCAAGAUGCAACAUGUGAAUCACCUAAAGAGAAGACAAUUAGGCAAGUGAUGCAUUACCAGGCAUAAAUCCACUUCCAGAAAUAGUUUUAGCUCAGCACUAUUCCUUUUAUCUGUAACUUCUCUCAGUUGAUCAACUUGAAAACAUAUCAUGCAUGUAAGAUCAUUAACAUUGAGUUAAUCACGUGCUACCAUCAUUUAAAUCAUGGUAGAAACCAUGCACUACAGAAGAAUGGCAGAAAAAAUAAUCAUAAUGCCCGCCACAAUUGUCACGCUUCAAAAAAAAAUCACUUUCAAGUGGGCAGACAUGUUGCAAUACUUACCAGAAGGUGGGGAGGAAGGAGUUAAGGGGAUACAAAGAGAUAAGGAGGGAGCAAUGGAGUUGUGGACCAACAAUGAAUGAACCACCAUGAUCGAAAAUAUUGAACAGGUAGAUGCAACACAUUUCGAAUGAAAAACAUACAUUGUCUUCACUAUUAUUGCCAGUUUUUCAAGACCUCAUCACAUUGAUGAUUGAACCAAUUAUCAAACAUAAGGAUGUUGUUGCAUCCGCUAAGGUGGCCUCAAGCAGGUUGAGGAUUUUGUAGUCUGUCCUGAACAUAAAUAAGUUAUGUCAAACACUCAUAAUGGAGAGAUCGUAAAUUUAGCAAAUGAAAGUGAAUCACGAAUUAUAUCAUGCGCACAAAACAAGCAAGAAUAGCUUCUACUGUGCCUCAUUUCAUCCUCAUUGUCUUUAUCUUACAUAAGCAUUCUUUUCCUUAGGAAAGUUUAGCACUAUAAAUCACCGUAAAAACUGCAAGGAAUUUCAAUAAAUGAAUUUAAGUUUACAACAAUUUAAACUUCAAAAGAUCCAAAUGAAGGUUUCAAUCAACCAAAAAGAAAUGACAUGACAGAAUAGCAUGUGUAAGAAUGUCAGGCCCUAUUACCAUACAAGCUCUAAUUAGAGCCAGCAAAAGUAGUAACAUAUGUAAUGCUCUAUACCUCUCCUGAGUUGAUUUAAGUUUUACCUCAGAGACAUUUUUGCACAGGAGUACUGAUAUUUCUUUUGUAGGUUGAUAAUUCUUCAUCUGCUAACUAGGACCUGGAUAAGAAUUAACUUUGCCAUGUAUGCAGAGGAGUCAAUGAAGAGCAAAUGUACCUCUUUUACCAUUAUCAUCAGCUUUAUGCGCAGUGUUGAUAUACUUUAAAGAGGAGUCAAAGUCUGUCCAAAAGAUAAAUGACAGAACACCAUAAAUUUCAUCAUUGGUCUCUGAGUGUUCAAUGUCUUCAGCAGAAGUACUUGUAUGUAUAUAGAGUUGGGAGGUACUCAAAUCCCCAUAAAUAACUCCUAAACACUGAUAAGCCAAUGUGAACACUGUCCUCCAUAAUUGUUUUUGCAACCACAGAAAAUAAACAACACUUGGUUAACUUCAAUUGGUGUUUUGUAGGCGUAGGAUAGAACAAACCAUCUAUUCAGAUACUUUGACCAACAGUAAAUAAUUUAUAAAACCCAGAUGAACAAAACACCAAAAAUCAAAAUAAAUUAGUUGUUGCUAGCUUUGCACGAAAGUUAGCAGAAUUACUUGUAUGUAUAUAGAGUGGGGAGGUACUCAAAUCCCCAUAAAUAACUUCUAAACACUGAUAAGCCAAUGUGAACAUUGUCCUCCAUAAUUCUUU
rnacentral:lncRNA from 1 species